rnacentral:miRNA from 5 species
UAAGUGCUAUUUGUUGGGGUAG